ACACUGACGUCGCGACGCAUAUCAAUAAGCGGAGGAAAAGAAACUAACAAGGAUUCCCUUAGUAACGGCGAGUGAAGCGGGAAGAGCUCAAAUUUGAAAUCUUCAAGGUUCUACCUUGACGAAUUGUAGUUUAAAGAAGUGUUUUCUGUUAGAUGAGUAGCAAAAGUUCCUUGGAAUGGGACAUCAUAGAGGGUGAGAAUCCCGUAUUUGGUUAUUCAUUCUAGCUUUGUGAUACACUUUCAAAGAGUCGGAUUGUUUGGGAAUGCAGUCCAAAAUGGGUGGUAAAUUUCAUCUAAAGCUAAAUAUUGGCGAGAGACCGAGAGCGAACAAGUACCGUGAGGGAAAGAUGAAAAGAACUUUGAAAAGAGAGUUAAACAGUACGUGAAAUUGUCAAAAGGGAAGCGUUUGACACCAGUGUUGUUUUUUCCGAAAAUCAAUUACGAAUGGCUUGAUUUUGUGUUGUAUUGACCUUAUCAGCUUUCUGCACUUUUUUCGAGUCUUUCUUAAUGCACUUUUUGGUUAACAAGUCAACAUCAAUUUCUUUUGUUGUAAAAGAGUAUUCGGAAGGUGGCUUUCUUUUCGGAGAAAGUGUUUAUAGCCCUAUACUUCUACAACUCGGAGAGAUUGAGGUCUGCAGCGUAGAUCCUUCGGGGUUAGAUACACUUGUGCUAAGUUAUAGCUUUUCAUAGACAACUUGUUGACUAUGUUUAGUCUUGUAGCUUACUCGCUUGUGCUAUUUUACCUACGCUUAGGAUGUUGAGUCGUAGAGCACGCAG
rnacentral:rRNA from 1 species